AAAAUAGAGAAAACUAAACUUGGCUGAGGUAGCCUAUUUAUUUUAACGAAAUUAUUUGGAAACAGAGGCCAACUAAAAUGUAUCAGUGAAUAUGGAUUUUAUUCUAUAAACAAAUGCAUAAUAAAACAAAAGUGCAUAUUAUAACUGCAUGUAAUAUACAAGCUAUACGAGUUAAACAUCACUUUUGGCUCAUUCUUUGGCCCUAUGUUAAUUUUUAAAUAAUCUUCCCAAUUGCACAAUAAAUUAUAAUUGUAAUACGCAAAAAAAAUCCAAUGGGCCACAUGAGCAAGUGGGACUGUGGAGGGUCAAACCAAUUGGGCUUAAAGGGAUAGUUCACCUAAAAAUAAAACUUCUGUCAUCAUUUACUCAUCCUCAUGUUGUUAAAAACUUGUAUACAUUUCUUUGUUCUGAUGAACACAAAAGAAGAUAUUUUGAGAAAUGUUUGUAACCAAACAGUUUGUGGGUCCCAUUUACUUCUAUAGUAUUCUUUUUUCCUACUAUGGAAGUGAAUGGGAUCCACGAACGGUUUGGUUACAAACAUUUCUCAAAAUUCUACCUAAACUAGGAGGUCAGAGAUACUUGAUUUAGUUAAGCAGUUAUCAAAGAUGCACCCUGCCUUUCACUUGCAGUGGAUGAGUCAACAAAUGACACAGACCAAGCCCAGCUGUGUGUUUGUAAGAUACUUCAGCAAGGCAAAGGGACAUUCUGUAAAGACUACUGGGCCUUACAAAACUCUGUCACACUAAAGAUGGGGACAUCUAUGAAGCUAUCAUGCAGAUGCUUAAUGAAAUAUGAACUGAUGUCAAGAAUUUUGUUUCCAUCACUACUGAUGGUGCUUCAGCUAUGAUAGGGAAGGAGAAGGGAGCUGUUCAGCAUCUGAAAGAGAAGCACUUAGACCUGCUGACAUACCAGUGUAUAAUACACCAGUCUGUUCUGUGUGCUAGCCUAGGAGAAGAAUAGCAGAUGUCAUGGAAACUACUAUGAAGCUUGUGACCUACCUGAGAGCAUCCGCACCAUGUCAGCCUGUCAGCACCAUCUUCUGUAAGCAUUCCUGACUGAUGCAAAUGCUGCAUAAAAUGACACUCCUUUAUAACAAUGUGAGGUGGCUGAGCAAGGGAAGGGUCAUGGAGAGGUUUUGGGCCACCAGGAAAGAUUUGGAGAUGUUUUUAUCUCAACAGAAGAAUGUCAAAGCCAGGCAUUUCCUGGAUCUUCUGAGUGCUACGCCAGUGGUAGCAUCAGCCCUCAUGUGCACCCCUCCUUGUGUGAAGACCUACGAUUGCAACGACUACACCGAGCAAAGACACCAACAAGGCACUUGAGUAUUUUAUACUUACAUUUCUUUUUUAAAUUCUCUUUGCAUUACUACUGACAACAUGUGCAUCCAGUACAUUCCUUUCAUUUAGAACAGACACAUUUUCAUCCCAGACACAAAACCCGAAUGAUUCACUUCAUCAUGCGACCCAUCCACACCUCCACUCCUACACCUCUGUGGGACUUUGCUCUUGCCUCAAACUACUCCUUCUCUCACUUUCCACACCAGUCAAGCAGGGGGGAGGCACAGGUUUGCUUGUUAGUAUUGUUUGUUUUCUCUUAGUACUU